UACAGAGGUCUCGAGCGUUAGGCGGAAUCACUGGGCUUAAAGCGUGUGUAGGCGGAUCGGUAAGUACCUUGUGAAAUCCCACAGCUUAACUGUGGAACUGCUUGGUAUACUGCCAGUCUUGAGCCAGCUAGGGGCGACCGGAACAAAUGGUGGAGCGGUGAAAUGCGUAGAUAUCAUUUGGAACGCCAAUGGUGAAAACAGGUCGCUGGGGCUGAUGCUGACGCUGAGACACGAAAGCCAGGGGAGCGAACGGG
rnacentral:rRNA from 1 species